UAAAGUUCCGGUUAUUAUUGUUAUUUAUUAUUAAUAGUAUCAGUAUCAAUAAGAAUGGAUUCGGAAUCUAAAAUAAAAAAGCCAGUCUUCCCAGUACGCAUCAAAAAUAAUGGCAAUGAUGAUAGUGGAAAGACCACGGAUAGUGAGAGUAGCCUUACAGAAAUGAUGAGCAAGUCAGCUGUGGAAGAAACAACUUCGAUCAUUGGACUUAACCAUGCUUUUCCUAUUAAUGUUAGCUCUGACAGUCAUAACUGCAUAAUAGAUCAGAAUUUGGAUUGGUUAGAUAAUAGCAGUUUCACAGCAUCUUCUUAUUCUGCUUACAAAAGUUUGCAAUCACAAGUUGAGAAAGAACAAAAAAGCUUUCUGUUAUGUUUCGUAAAAAAGUAGUCUUGAUUAUCCCUACCUGUCAAUCAGACGUAGAAUGGUCGAUAGACUGGUUAAGC